AGCAGUAUUGAACUGAAGAGUUUGAUCAUGGCUCAGAUUGAACGCUGGCGGCAGGCCUAACACAUGCAAGUCGAGCGGAUGAAGGGAGCUUGCUCCUGGAUUCAGCGGCGGACGGGUGAGUAAUGCCUAGGAAUCUGCCUGGUAGUGGGGGAUAACGUCCGGAAACGGGCGCUAAUACCGCAU
rnacentral:rRNA from 1 species